CAAUAGCAUGCAGUAAAUCUUUCUUAUCAAAUUCUAGGGAACACGAUUCAAUUUUUAACCAAAAAGGGGAUGAAGUAAGCUGGAUCUGAUCCCUCUCCAUCGCUUGGCUUAGUCUAUCAAACAGAAUUAGAUUUUUCCGAAAAAGCCAAGGCCUUCCCUCUAAAAUCGAUUCCAGAUCUUCUUCCAACUCAAAAAUUAUUAGAAAUAAAUUUUGUCCCGCCACCUGAAUCUCAAACUUCUUCCUAGUCUUCC
rnacentral:lncRNA from 1 species